UAAAACCAGCACCUCAAGUGGUCAGGAUGAUUAUUGGGCCUAAAGCAUCCGUAGCCGGCUCUGUAAGUUUUCGGUUAAAUCUGUACGCUUAACGUACAGGCUGCUGGGAAUACUGCAGAGCUAGGGAGUGGGAGAGGUAGACGGUACUCGGGAGGAAGUGGUAAAAUGCUUUGAUCUCUCGAUGACCACCUGUGGCGAAGGCGGUCUACCAGAACACGUCCGACGGUGAGGGAUGAAAGCUGGGGGAGCAAACCGGAUUAGAUACCCGGGUAGUCCCAGCUGUAAACUAUGCAAACUCAGUGAUGCACUGGCUUUUGGCCAGUGCAGUGUUGCAGGGAAGCCGUUAAGUUUGCCGCCUGGGAAGUACGUACGCAAGUAUG
rnacentral:rRNA from 1 species